AGAGUUUGAUCCUGGCUCAGGACGAACGCUGGCGGCGCGCCUAACACAUGCAAGUCGAACGGAGCUUAGAGAGCUUGCUUUUUAAGCUUAGUGGCGAACGGGUGAGUAACGCGUGAGUAACCUGCCCUAGAGUGGGGGACAACAGUUGGAAACGACUGCUAAUACCGCAUAAGCCCACGGUACCGCAUGGUACUGAGGGAAAAGGAUUUAUUCGCUUUAGGAUGGACUCGCGUCCAAUUAGCUAGUUGGUGAGGUAACGGCCCACCAAGGCGACGAUUGGUAGCCGGACUGAGAGGUUGAACGGCCACAUUGGGACUGAGACACGGCCCAGACUCCUACGGGAGGCAGCAGUGGGGGAUAUUGCACAAUGGGGGAAACCCUGAUGCAGCGACGCCGCGUGGAGGAAGAAGGUUUUCGGAUUGUAAACUCCUGUCGUUAGGGACGAUAAUGACGGUACCUAACAAGAAAGCACCGGCUAACUACGUGCCAGCAGCCGCGGUAAAACGUAGGGUGCAAGCGUUGUCCGGAAUUACUGGGUGUAAAGGGAGCGCAGGCGGGAAGACAAGUUGGAAGUGAAAACCAUGGGCUCAACCCAUGAAUUGCUUUCAAAACUGUUUUUCUUGAGUAGUGCAGAGGUAGAUGGAAUUCCCGGUGUAGCGGUGGAAUGCGUAGAUAUCGGGAGGAACACCAGUGGCGAAGGCGGUCUACUGGGCACCAACUGACGCUGAGGCUCGAAAGCAUGGGUAGCAAACAGGAUUAGAUACCCUGGUAGUCCAUGCCGUAAACGAUGAUUACUAGGUGUUGGGGGAUUGACCCCCUCAGUGCCGCAGUUAACACAAUAAGUAAUCCACCUGGGGAGUACGACCGCAAGGUUGAAACUCAAAGGAAUUGACGGGGGCCCGCACAAGCAGUGGAGUAUGUGGUUUAAUUCGAAGCAACGCGAAGAACCUUACCAGGUCUUGACAUCCGUGUAAAGCCGAAGAGAUUCGGUGUGAGCUUGCUCAAUACGAGACAGGUGGUGCAUGGUUGUCGUCAGCUCGUGUCGUGAGAUGUUGGGUUAAGUCCCGCAACGAGCGCAACCCUUAUCGUCCGUUACUAACAGGUAAAGCUGAGGACUCAGACGAGACCGCCGGGGACAACUCGGAGGAAGGUGGGGACGACGUCAAAUCAUCAUGCCCCUUACGACCUGGGCUACACACGUGCUACAAUGGGUACAACAAAGAGACGCGAGACCGCAAGGUGGAGCAAAACUCAGAAAAGUACUCUCAGUUCAGAUUGUGGGCUGCAACCCGCCCACAUGAAGUUGGAGUUGCUAGUAAUCGCGGAUCAGCAUGCCGCGGUGAAUACGUUCCCGGGCCUUGUACACACCGCCCGUCACACCAUGGGAGUUGGGAGCGCCCGAAGCCAGUGAGGUAACCGAAAGGAGCCAGCUGUCGAAGGUGAGACCAAUGACUGGGGUGAAGUCGUAACAAGGUA
rnacentral:rRNA from 1 species